AAAAGCUCGUAGUUGGAUUUCGGUUGAGAACGGCCGGUCCGCCGUUUGGUGUGCACUGGCUGGUUUCAACUUCCUGUAGAGGACGCGCUCUGGCUUCACGGCUGGACGCGGAGUCUACGUGGUUACUUUGAAAAAAUUAGAGUGUUCAAAGCGGGCUUACGCUUGAAUAUUUCAGCAUGGAAUAACACUAUAGGACUCCUGUCCUAUUUCGUUGGUCUCGGGACGGGAGUAAUGAUUAAGAGGAACAGUUGGGGGCAUUCGUAUUUCAUUGUCAGAGGUGAAAUUCUUGGAUUUAUGAAAGACGAACUUCUGCGAAAGCAUUUGCCAAGGAUGUUUUCAUUAAUCAAGAACGAAAGUUGGGGGCUCGAAGAUGAUUAGAUACCAUCCUAGUCUCAACCAUAAACGAUGCCGACUAGGGAUUGCAGGAUGUUAAUUGAUGACUCCUGCAGCACCUUAUGAGAAAUCAAAGUUUUUGGGUUUCGGGGGGAGUAUGGUCGCAAGGCUGAAACUUAAAGGAAUUGACGGAAGGGCACCACCAGGCGUGGAGCCUGCGGCCUUA
rnacentral:rRNA from 1 species